rnacentral:rRNA from 1 species
AUUGAACGCUGGCGGCGUGCCUUACACAUGCAAGUCGAACGGCAGCACGGGUGCUUGCACCUGGUGGCGAGUGGCGAACGGGUGAGUAAUACAUCGGAACGUACCUUAUCGUGGGGGAUAACGCAGCGAAAGCUGUGCUAAUACCGCAUACGCCCUGAGGGGGAAAGCGGGGGAUCGCAAGACCUCGCGCGAUUAGAGCGGCCGAUGCCUGAUUAGCUUGUUGGUGGGGUAAAAGCCCACCAAGGCGACGAUCAGUAGCUGGUCUGAGAGGACGAUCAGCCACACUGGGACUGGGCCACGGCCCAGACUCCUACGGGAGGCAGCAGUGGGGAAUUUUGGACAAUGGGGGCAACCCUGAUCCAGCAAUGCCGCGUGAGUGAAGAAGGCCUUCGGGUUGUAAAGCCCUUUUGUCAGGGAAGAAACACCGGCUCUAACACAGUCCGGGAAUGACGGUACCUGAAGAAUAAGCACCGGCUAACUACGUGCCAGCCGCCGCCGUAA